rnacentral:lncRNA from 1 species
AAGAGUACUGGACGUAACCUUCAGUGGACUAGAAGGUUAACCAAUAUAAAAAUCACUGUGUAUUCUCUUCUCCCUUAUCUCUUUCAUUUUAUCUUGAUUAUUUUUCUGCAUAUAUUUUCCGUUGCACGUUAACUCUUGAUUUUGCAGAAAAAGUGGCCAUAAUUUUUAAAGUCAACUAAUUCACCCAUCUUCUUAGUUGCAACCUCGUUCUUACAGUAUGGUUCUGCAAAAUGAGACAUUGAUCAUCAGAAAAUAUUAAGUGACAAUCUGAGCCCUUAAUUAGUUUGUUAACUGAUAUUAGGUUCACAUGAAAUUGAGGAACAUAUAGCACAUUAGUUAGUGUAAGGGACUUGUUGACGUUAAUUUUACUAGAGAUAAUGCUAGAAACCUUAUUGCCAUUUGGCAGUGUAAUGAGCAUAGGUGGUAUACAUUUGUAUGUAUUGAAAUGGCUCAUUUUAUGUAUGAUGUGAUUGUGACUCCAGUAUCAAAGAGCCAUUGAGAAUAAAUCUUACCUGAUGAAGAAAGAUGCAUAGUUGUGUUGAUUGUUGAGUGUGUAGAGUGCUUUUCUUCAGUCUUUGGCUGGUUCAAUAGGUCCAGAAUGCCUUGUACUUGUUGUUGUGUGAACAUUUUCUCUCCUUCUUGAGAUAACUUGAUCAAUUAAGGCUUCAUAUAUGUUUGUUCUUCACUGCCCAAGGGGAAGCUUGAUGUGGGGUUUAUUAUUUUGUUAAACUUUUGUUGAAAUCCAGGUUGAUACCCAUGUUUAAGGAAACAUGUGUCUAUUGUAUGAUUAGCUCUUUGGCAAUAGGUGCAAAACCUAUUUAUGGAAUUUCUUCCUCUUCCAUUGGAUCUACCACAUCUCCCCUAUAAUCUUGAUCUCUAAAAUUCGUGACAUAUUGGAUUGUCCCACAGGUACAAUGAUUGAUGCAUAUGCAAUUUCUAAUAGGCCUAAAAUUCUCUAUUUCUUUCCAUAAAGUCUUCAGUUGAGUGAAAAAAAAUCAGAGACAACGAGAUUACCUUGAUGCAAUUAGUAGAAAUAUUCUUGUAAUUAGGCAAUUCUAAAUAUAUCAACUUGGAAAUAUUGUUCUUACAAAUCUUUCCAAACCUUCAUAGUUGAGUCGAUCCAUAGAAUAGACUUGGUAGUGGGUUCUUCUAUUGAGUUUUGGAUCCAUGAUAGGACCAUUAUGUUGCAUCUCAUCCAUUGAUCAUGUAGAGGAUCUGUUGGAUGUGGUUGUGUCAAACUUCCAUCUAUGAAUUUUAUCGUGUUCUUGGAUUGUAAUGCCAAUUUGAAAGCUCAUGCUCAUGGAUGAUAGUUUCUUCCAUUCAAAACAGGCGUGACAAGGACUAGGGUUGGGCACUCACUAGCAUGAAGAUAAUAGGGAGUUGCAUCGCCAUUUAUGAAUGAUGAUAACAUAGACAAGUAAGAACAAAAGACAGAAAAUAGAAGGAAUAAUAAGAAAGAAAAAAAGAUUGUGAAUGAGGGGAAAUGAUUGGUGAUCAGAGCCGAUGUUCUGAUACCAUGUUAGCUUGCAGAGAAUUCAUGGGGUAAAGAAAAGAAGAGUAUUGAAUAAAUCUUGUAUUGAUUGAACUCUUUUUGCAAUGAAACAAGAUGUCCUAUAAAAAGAAAGCCCCCCAACUAACUUAACAAACCUGGAGACGAAAAACAGAAAACAGGUAAACAGAAAAACUAACCUAUAACUAAAAGGAAAAUGGGCUAAGGCCCAAUAAGCAAAGACAUAAAUAAGGAAAAGGAAAUUGGCUUGAAAAGUUGCUCUUGUAACAUAAGCUCUAGGAAGAAGGCAACAAUGGCAGUAAAGGAACACUAAUGAUUUUAACACUUUCUAAUGUUUGGCAUUUAAUAUUUUUUAGCUAAUGACAAUUUUAACCCCCUAACCACAUAUGAUAUUGCAUUCUAUUUUUAAGUUAUUUAAUAACUCAAACUCAACCGGUCUUUUUGGUGAUGAAGGAGGGCUUAGACGCCCGAGGACAAAAAAUGGAAAGCUAAAAUCUACACACGGCCCCUACAAUAAACUGUAGUAGCACUAUCGAACAUAAUAGGUACAUAUAAAAGCUUUUGUUCCUACAUCUAGCUCCAAAUCAUACUUAGCUAAAGCAUCAACAACCGAGUUUUCCUCCUUCUAAGUAUGGAUCGAAACAACAUUAGUGAUUUUAUUGAAGUAAUUCUAUCUUUAAUUAACAAAUUUCACACAAGGAUGAGAAUCCCUACGCACGAAAGUAAUUAGCUGGAUACGAUAAGUAGAGUCGAAUUACAAUAUCACAAUUUAGAAUCCUUUAUGUAGAAGAAGCCUUAAUAACCAUGGCUAAUUAAAAAUAAACACAUUAUUAUUGAAGUUUAAGGCAGAUGACAUAAUAGUUUAUGCAAAUUUCUAUAUUUAGGUAAUAAACAAGAAUAAUAUGUUAAUUAUCAAAGAACCUCUCUAAUCGUAUUGAACUUUUUAAUUGAAGAAUUGCUCUCCCGGUGGACAGUCUUGUUUUGUACAACUGUACUACAAAGAGACAUGAAUUAUGAAGUGUACUUGUUAUAAAUUUGAGCCACACAAUUCAUGGAUCUUCUAAGAGAUUUUGAAGAUGUCAGUGAACGGAAAGUGGUGGAAUUCAAUGUCCAUAAGCUUGUUUUUUUUUUUAAAAAAAGAUUAUUCUUCAUUAAGUUACUUUUUUCCUAAUAACUUUAUGAAAUUUAAGUAGGUUUUAAGUGUUUAAAUUGAAUUUAAUAUUUAUCAUUACUAUUGUUAAUACACAUAUAUUAAACUGUGUUUUUAUUUGGUCACAAUUAAUUAAUAGAAACUUAAUAAAGUAUAUUUAAACAUGAGGAGGGAGAGGGAUAGGUCGAUGGUUCGAUUCUUGUGAGUGACACUUGUUGAGAUGGACGGUCACGACUCCAAAAAAGAUUAGUUUCUUAUGUAAAAAGGUGAAGGAGUGCCCUUGAAUAUACCACAAAAACAAGAGGAUGACAACAAUCAAACUUUUAAGCAAACAAAAGGUCCUCUCAAGAAGAUAGGAGAGGCCACAACGUGGACUUCAAAAAAGUAUGGAAAUGUAAUGUAUCACCGAAUAUGAAAUGUUUAGUGUGGAAAAUCUUCUUGGGUGGAGCCCCGACAAAGUUAUGUCUUGCUCAAUGAGGUAUCUUAGGAGCACAUGUUCUACCAUGUUGUGCUCUACACGGGGAGGAGGGUGAAACAAUAAAUCACAUAUUUUUCACUUGCUCGAAGUUUUAUAAUGUUUGGCAAUAUCUGUAUUCCAGGUUUGGUCUUACCUCAAUUCUUCACGAUGAUUCUAAGGUAAACUUUUCUACUUAUAUGACUUUGUUGAGAUUGAUGAACAAGAAUAAACAAAGGUGGUUGUCACUUUGGUUCAUGACUAUUUGGAAUAUAUGGCUUGGGAGGAACAAUAUUAUUUUUGAAAAUUUAAGAUUUUGUCUUAAUGAGGUGAUCAAACUUAUAUUUUUAUAUUCUUGGAACUUCUUAAGAAUUUGUUAUAAUAGUUUAAAGUUCUUUUUUUGUGUUGGACGUUGAAUCCAUACAAGUGUUUUUUGGUAACUAAUUUUGUUUUUAUAUAUAAGAGUAUUACUUAUUCUCCUAGUUUUUUUUACUUUUCAUUUUUUAAUAAAUUUCAUUGAUAAUAAAAAAUAGUCCUAUUUAAUUAUUUUAAAAUUUAAAAAUUUAAGGAUUUAAUUAUAAAUAAUGCAUUAAAAUGUGUAAAAUUUUAAUGAAUCCCUAAAAAAAAGUUUAAAGAUCAAAUGAUCAAUUACUCUGAGCAACACUGUUGCGAGAAAUACUAACAUACUUUGAAAAUGGAAUUGUUCCUUAUACAUGUGAGCACCGAAUAGGAAAAGAAGAGUGAAUAAAUGGAUAUGCAUAUAUCCUGCAUAUUGAGAGAUUAGUUCUUUUAAGUAAGUGUAGUGUCAAAAAAAUUCUUUUCUUUUUAGUUUUUCUAAUGUGUGCUACCUCUUGAACUUGCAAGUAGCUAAUGUAAAAAAAAAAAUAGCAACUUGCAAUAAAUCUUGAGAGCUAAUUUAUUCACCAUUCGUUUUAAAUUUAAACUCCUUGAAUUUUAAAAAAAUUCCAUACUAUUUUUACAUCAUCUUCAUGUUCUUUUAACCCACCUUAAUCCUCCCUUUUCUUUUUCAUCAAACCCCACAUUUUGAUUUCCAUCAUCCCAAAGGUAUAUGCAUGCUUUUAGAGUCUUAGAUAUUAUUUUAUAUUUAUUACAUUUCCUUGUAAAAUAAGAAUAAUAUUUACUUGUUUUUCCAUAAUAACAAACAUUAUUCUUAUUUUUAUUUUGGUCGCAUAACUUAUUCAUUUCUGAACCAAACAUCUACAUUUUUUUUCUCUCUUCUUAUUCCUAUUUCUCUCUCAUUAUUCUUAUUUAAGAAUAGAAUUUAUAAAAUACGAAUAACACAACAGAAAACCAAGUAAGACUAUUAGAGUAUUCUUAUUCUAUUAAGAACACUUAAAGAACAAUUACCAUGAUUGCUCUUAAUUUAUCAUCCCAAUUUUUGUUUUCCUUAAUUGCUUUGUUUUCUUUAUUGAUUUUUGUUUUUCCUCUAAAUAACUUUAAAUACUAGUUUGUCCAAAAUACAACCAGAAUGGGAGAAACGAAAACAGAACAAACCAAGAAGAAAAAGAAGCGAGAGAUGGAUCCAAAUUUAAAAUCGGAUGUCAAUAAAUCAACUCAAAAAUCAAUCAGCAAGUACGAACCUGAAAUCCGUUAUGAGCAGCCCAUAAAAUAGAAGUCAGUGACACGAGCUGACCAGCCCAUCCAAGCCCAUUUCUUCAAUUGCAAUGAUACCUAAUCCAAUCAGAAGCAACACAAUGGCGAAAAAGACUUAUUUACAUACAGAUAAUAACCAAUAAAAUUUUGACAAAACAUAAAUGAUAAUAGGAUAAAAUAUAAAUAUAAUUGUCUUCAAAUAUGACUUAUUGUAUAUGUUCUCACAUAAAUUUUUCUCCAGAAUAGCGCAGUAAUAUCUUCAUAAGUAACAUCUAGUUAACCAAGGCGUUGCUGUAUAUAUGAUUCAUUGUGAUAAGAGGAGAGUAAAGCUAGUGCUUCUAUGAUAUAGAAAUAAAUAUAUGGCAGUAGCACAAGUAUUGACGUUAUGGCAACUUAACAUCUGCUCAGUGUGUAAGUUUUGCAAUUAUACAUCCAUUACAAUUUUCUUUAUAAGAGUGUAAUAUCUAUACAUCAACAAUAUAAAGAUUUAUAUAUAGUCAGUAUAUCAUCCACCAUUUAUUUGAAUUAUUUUUUCUGAAGAAAAAAAAUCAAUAAUAAUUAAAAUGAAAAAUGAACGAUACAAUCACAACGUAAAAAUCUCUUAUUUAUAAAUUUCAGCUUCAAUGAACAAUACAACGUGUCUCUUAAUUUCUCAUUGGGUCAAUGAUUUCAACGACAGCAAGAAAUGUAAGAGGUAUUUAUAUAGGAUUUAUCUACGGCUCAAUAUUGGUCCUAAAAGUAGUCAAAGUUCAAAACGUCAAAUACACAGUGACACAUGAUUGGCUCAGGUCCCAAAAAAAGUGUCACAACUUAAAAAUAUAUUUAAAUUAAAUUAAAUAUUUAAUAAUUAAAUAUUUUUUUAUUAAUACAAUUUGUGAGACAUAAAAUAUGUUCUAAUAUCUAACACCAUUAAAAGUAUUAAUGUUAUAUGUGAACAUAUAAAAAAUUUCAAAUUCUCGUUCUUCAUAUAUAUUAUAAGAUUCUACCAUUUUCUCUCUCCACUUCAUUUAUACAUUAAUUACUUGUGAUUAUUGAGUGAAAGUAUUUUGAAAAAAUAAUAAUAAUUUAAUAUACAUUAAAAAAAAGUCUCAUAAAAUGGAGAAAAUUCCAUCCAUCUAAACGUCUUGUAAAGAGAAAGGAUACAAGGUAGUAGUACACAUUUACUAACGAAGCUAAAAGAUUUCCAUUGAGGAGGCUAAAGAAGAGCAUUACUUUAUUUAUGACAACUAAAGUUAUAUUAUGUUCUACUAAGAGCCGGUAAUGAGUAAACUUCUUUUCGUUACCUCCAUUAUUUAGCUGGACUAUUAGGGUUAGUUUGAAAUUGAAGUUUGGAGGGGGAAAAAAUAGAAAGAGAAUACUUGAAAAUCAUGAAAUAUACUUGUGAGAUGAUUCUCAAGUCUUCUAUUUCCCAUUCAAAAUUCAACUCAUAAACUAACCUAUAAAGAUUCGUUUGGUAGUCAUGUUUUUGAAUUUUUUUGAUGAAAAUGGGAGACUUCAAAAAACAACUCACUAAGUAUAUUAUUUCAUAGCUUUCAAAUCUUCUAUUUCAUUUCAUUUUCUUCCAAAAUUUAAGUCGUAAACGAACUCUAAAGAUCCCUUUAUGAGAUAAGUUUUGAAGGGAAAUAAAAUAAAAUAGAAGAUUUUAAAAUUACCACACAAAUAUAUCUCAUAACUUUUAAGUCUUUUAUUUCAUUUCAUUCCUUUUCAAAAACUAACGCUUAAAGGCCAUGUCUCCACCACCUCUUCAUGCUUCAGCAAUCAUAGCAUUAGUUAGUGUCACAAAAAAGACAAACCAUAUUAAAAGACUCGGAAAACAAAAACAAAAGCAAAUUAAAAUUUCAUUCCUUUCUUGAUGAACAGGAACCGCUUGCACCAAAGAUUAUUCAUAUUUCAACUUGAAAUAUUCGAAGUUGGCUGUCUUGUAUUAUAGCGUGCUCUAUAAUGUGAUCAAGAAAAUGAAGAACAAAAUCUGUAGUAGUUGCAAGGAUGGAUUAUCAAAGAAAGGAUCAAAGACCUAAGAUACAAUCCCUAAGAAACAAUUCACAAAAGCCAUUAAUCUGUGUCAUACAACCGUGAUGGACAUCUAAAGUCAUUUUACUUCAUUAAAAUACCACUAAGCUAGCAAGUGAUGUGUUAAGUGCAAGUCAAUAAAAGAAUAGUAGUGGCUUACAAGAAUUAGAUUAAGUAGAAGCACUGGUUUUCAACACUUGGGCUUCAGAACAAGUCUUCAUCAACCAUGUCUUCAGGACAAGAACUGGCACCAUCCCUCAUACCACCAUUCAUUAUAAACACACAAAGGCCACAUCACAGUCUCCAACUACGUAUAGCAACACAUUUAAUGAUUUAAAAGUGUCGUCCAUAAAUUAAACGCACAUCUAUCAAGUUGAGGCCAAUAGAUGAGGGCACAGUUAGUUCAGUACAGCUGUAACGUAAGGUGCAUGCAUAAACUAAAUUAAAUAUGGAACUCCAAAUUCAUUUCCUAGAAAAACU